rnacentral:rRNA from 1 species
GACGAACGCUGGCGGCGUGCUUAACACAUGCAAGUCGAACGGUAAGGCCCUUCGGGGUACACGAGUGCGAACGGGUGAGUAACACGUGGGUGAUCUGCCCUGCACUUCGGGAUAAGCCUGGGAAACUGGGUCUAAUACCGGAUAGGACCACUGCCUGCAUGGGUGGUGGUGGAAAGCUUUUGCGGUGUGGGAUGGGCCCGCGGCCUAUCAGCUUGCCGGUGGGGUGAUGGCCUACCAAGGCGACGACGGGUAGCCGGCCUGAGAGGGUGACCGGCCACACUGGGACUGAGAUACGGCCCAGACUCCUACGGGAGGCAGCAGUGGGGAAUAUUGCACAAUGGGCGCAAGCCUGAUGCAGCGACGCCGCGUGAGGGAUGACGGCCUUCGGGUUGUAAACCUCUUUCAGCACCGACGAAGCGCAAGUGACGGUAGGUGCAGAAGAAGGACCGGCCAACUACGUGCCAGCCGCCGCCGUAACAC